rnacentral:rRNA from 1 species
AUGGAACGUGCAGAUGCCAGCCACGCCGCCGCUAAUGGCACUGAUUUGUAUGCUUUGUCUGCUGAAAACGCCCGCAUCGUUGUUACCAGGGCCCCCGCCCUAGCUGCGGCCCACGGCUGGGAAGCCCCGGAGGUUCCCGAUGCCUCCCACGCUCACGAACAGGUUCUUCUCGUCAGCUUCCCAUACACCGUGUUCUUCACUGCGGCGGUAGUGGCCGGAAGCACAGUCUUGGUCUUGGUCAUCGCUAGCACGUGGCAAAGCAUGAAAAAGGGAGCAGUGCCGGAACACUUCUUGGCCAGGGCACUGCUCUAG